UACGGGGGGAGCAAGCGUUGUUCGGAUUUACUGGGCGUAAAGGGCGCGUAGGCGGCCAGCACAAGUCAGUUGUGAAAUCUCCGGGCUUAACUCGGAAAGGUCAACUGAUACUGUGCGGCUAGAGUGCAGAAGGGGCAACUGGGAAUUCUCGGUGUAGCGGUGAAUGCGUAGGAUAAUCAAGAGGAACACCUGAGGUGAAGACGGGUUGCUGGGCUGACACGUGACGCUGAGGCGCGAAGCCAGGGGAGCAAACGGGA
rnacentral:rRNA from 1 species